GGCGGGGUAGCUCAGUGGUAGAGUACUUGCCCAACAUGCAUGAGCCUCUGGGUUCUAUUCCCAGCACCA
rnacentral:tRNA from 1 species